rnacentral:rRNA from 1 species
CACGUGGAUAACCUGCCUGGGUGCGGGGGACAACCUGGGGAAACCUGGGCUAAUACCGCAUAAUUCUCCUCCCCUGCGGGGGUGGAUGGAAAGAUGGCCUCUUCUUGAAAGCUAUCGCACUCAGAGGGGUCCGCGUCUGAUUAGCUAGUUGGUGAGGUAAUGGCUCACCAAGGCGACGAUCAGUAGCCGGCCUGAGAGGGUGAUCGGCCACACUGGAACUGAGACACGGUCCAGACUCCUACGGGAGGCAGCAGUGGGGAAUAUUGGACAAUGGGCGCAAGCCUGAUCCAGCAACGCCGC